UCGUAUAUAAGAAAAAACUCCGCGCCGAAACACUCGAGCUGAAGAGCGUGUCACGUUCUAUCGUGCAGAUCUCCGUCGAACCUGUUGAUCCUACAGUCCCGUCCACCUUGUGAACAUACAUCAUGAAAGCCCUGCAGCUCGUGUUCGUCUUCGUCGCUGCUGCGUGCGUCUGCGACGCCAGUGUGCUGCCCGCGGCAGUGCCGGCGGCCCCGUUGGUGGCUGCUGCCCCUAUUCCAGCACCGUAUGUCCUGCACCACGCGCCGCUGGUUCACCACCCCGUCGUAGCUCACCCUGCGCCAGCUCCCGUAUUGGCAGCGGCAUUGCCUGCCUACUCGUACACGUACACGUCACUCGCCCAGACGCAUCCCGUUGCCGCCGCUGCACCGCUUCACGUGGUUGGAAAGUAGAGCUCGCCUAAGCGUAUAGCCGGAAGCGGGUAAAGGCUCCAGCUGUACAGGGAACGGAGUCCAGGUUGCCCAAGCGAUCGCAGCGCAACAGUGCUCCAUCCACGGGAAUAAACGGCGCCGGAAAAAAGCAGUGUCUCCACCGAAGACAAGCGUGUAACGACUCUACAAAGAAUAUUGUUUCGAGAAAUGUGACGCAUUGAAGAGUGGUACUAUAUAUGAAAGCAAUAAAAGCAUUCCAGGGGAUG